UACGUAGGGUGCGAGCGUUGUCCGGAAUUAUUGGGCGUAAAGAGCUCGUAGGCGGUCUGUCGCGUCUGCUGUGAAAACUCAGGGCUUAACCCUGAGCUUGCAGUGGGUACGGGCAGACUAGAGUGCGGUAGGGGAGACUGGAAUUCCUGGUGUAGCGGUGAAAUGCGCAGAUAUCAGGAGGAACACCGGUGGCGAAGGCGGCACUCUGGGCCGGAACUGACGCUGAGGAGCGAAAGCGUGGGGAGCAAACAGG
rnacentral:rRNA from 1 species